GGGAUUGUGGCUCAGUGGUAGAGAGAGCGCUUGCCUGGCAUGUGUGAAGCACUGGGUUUGAUUCUCAGCAUCCCA
rnacentral:tRNA from 1 species